rnacentral:rRNA from 1 species
UGGGGAAUAUUGGACAAUGGGCGAAAGCCUGAUCCAGCCAUGCCGCGUGUGUGAAGAAGGUCUUCGGAUUGUAAAGCACUUUAAGUUGGGAGGAAGGGCAGUAAGCGAAUACCUUGCUGAUUUUACGUUACCGACAGAAUAAGCACCGGCUAACUCUGUGCCAGCAGCCGCGGUAAUACAUAGGGUGCAAGCGUUAAUCGGAAUUACUGGGCGUAAAGCGCGCGUAGGUGGUUCGUUAAGUUGAAUGUGAAAGCCCCGGGCUCAACCUGGGAACUGCAUCAAAAACAGGCGGGCUAGAGUAGGGCAGAGGAUGGUAGAAUUCCCUGUUGAGCGGUGAAAUGCGUAGAUAUAGGAAGGAACACCAGUGGCGAAGGCGACCACCUGGGCUCAUUCUGACACUGAGGUGCGAAAGCGUGGGGGGCAAACAGG